rnacentral:rRNA from 1 species
CCUACGGGUGGCAGCAGUGGGGAAUAUUGCACAAUGGGGGAAACCCUGAUGCAGCGACGCCGCGUGAGUGAAGAAGUACUUCUGUAUGUAAAGCUCUUUUAGUAGGGAAGAAAAUGACGGCACCUGUGUAAUUAGCCCCGUCUAACUACGUGCCAGCAGCCGCGGGAAUACGUAGGGGGCAAGCGUUAUCCGGAUUUACUGGGCGUAAAGGGAGCGUAGAGGGUAUCGCAAGUCUGAAGUGAAAUGCCGGGGGUUAACCCCGGAAGUGCUGUGGAAACUGGGCAGCUAGAGUGCAGGAGAGGUAAGUGGAAUUCGGGGUGUAGCGGUGAAAUGCGUAGAUAUUAGGAAGAACACCAGUGGCGAAGGCAGCUUACUGGACUGUAACUGACGUUGAGGCUCGAAAGCGUGGGGAGCAAACAGGAUUAGAUACCCUGGUAGUC